UACGUAGGGUGCGAGCGUUGUCCGGAAUUACUGGGCGUAAAGAGCUCGUAGGUGGUUUGUCGCGUUGUCCGUGAAAACUCACAACUCAAUUGUGGGCGUGCGGGCGAUACGGGCAGACUGGAGUACUGCAGGGGAGACUGGAAUUCCUGGUGUAGCGGUGGAAUGCGCAGAUAUCAGGAGGAAUACCCGUGGCGAAGGCGGGUCUCUGGGCAGUAACUGACGCUGAGGAGCGAAAGCGUGGGGAGCGAACAGG
rnacentral:rRNA from 1 species